GGUAUACACGUGCCAUGGUGGUUUGCUGCACCCGUCAACCUGUCAUCUACAUUAGGUCUGCUGUGGUUUUCUGGGGGUCCACUCUGGACCCUGGUCACCUCAGUCUCUCCUGCACCUGGAGGUAUCACCAGUGAAGGCUGCGAAACAGCAAAGAUCGCAGCCUGUUCCUUCCUCUGGGAGCACCAGUCCAAGGAGGUACCGACUUGAUGCCAGCUGGAACUCUCCUGUAGGAGGUGUCUGGAGACCCCUGUUGGGAGGUCUUGCCCAGUCAGGAGAAACAGGAUCAGGGACUGCUUAAAGAAGCAGUCUGGCUGCCCUUUGGCAGAGCAGGUGUGCUGUGGUGACUGCCAGGAGUCUCCAGAGCCAGCAGGCUGGAAAGGCUCAGUCGGCUGAACUGGGGAGACAGCAGCUACCCCUCUCCCUGGGGACUUCAUCCCAGGGAGAAAUCAGAGUUCUGUCCAUAGAACUCUGGCUGGAGUUGCUAAAAUUCCGAUGGGGAGGCCCUGUCCGGUGAGGAGGGAUGGAUUUCGGUCUCACUUAAAGAAGCAGCCUGGCCACGAUCAGGCACAGCAGCUGUGCUGUGUUAUGGGGGACUCCUCCUGGUCCCUGGUGCCAGCAGGCUAGAGCGGCCAACUCAAACCACAGAUAGAGUGGCUGCCCUCCCCUGGGAACUCGGUCCAUCUCCGGCUGUCUCCAGCCUGCUGCCGCUGGCCAGCUGGAAUUCCAAGCCAAUGGGACUUGUGAGGUGCUGUGGGAGUGGGGCCUCAGAAUGAUGUCACUUGGCUCCCUGGAUUCAGCCCCCUUCCUAGGGGAAUGCACAGAUGUAUCUCCCGCUUUGCUGGAAUUUUCGGGGCAGAGGAUGCAAAACUCCUGGGCUUUCACGCAUGCCCCAGUGAGCCAGCGAGCAUUCCGCCGAGACUCCACACAGCUCUGUGCUUCAGACCCAAGGCCAUGGCUGAGCUCACCAGGGGACCUCCUGAUCUGCAGGUUGCAAAGAUCCGUGGGAGAAGCAUGGUUUCCUGGGCAGAGUCGCACAAUCACUCACCGCCUCCCUUGGCUGCGAGUAGGGGCUCCCCUAGCUCCGUGCCACACCUGGGUGGGCCAUCGCCCCACUUGCUUUUCCUCACUCCCUGUGGGUCGAGCUGUCUGGCUAGUCAGUCCCAAUGCAAGAACCUGGAUACCUCAACUGAAGGUGCAGAAUUCACUCGCAGUUUUCACUGCUCUCCGUGAGAGCCGCAGGCCACAGCUGCUUCUAAUAGGACAACUUGGCCCCAUCUAAAGUAUGAUUUCUUAAUACAUGAGAUGUUUUAAAUACGUAACAAUAUUUAUCACAAAUAAUAUUUUGUCUCAAUGAGAUAUAAAAAUUGCUAAUAAAUCAAUUCUUUUUUGGUUACCACAAAGCUAUCUGGAAAUGUAACAUCUGCCAUUUAGAAAAUUUUUGUAGAGUUAAUAGAACUUUACCUGAAGGGAGGCUGGCGAUAUGCAUCAUGAUUUCAAAUAUUGUAUUAAUUGUUUUGUAAUUUUGUGUUUUUUAAAACUAAACUUAUUAAAUUGGUUGUAUAUUACUUUAGGUAGCACUAUUUGGUGAUGAGAGAAUAAUAAUUUGCAAAAUAUAAGAGUUCCUUAUUAUAAAAAUGUCCUCUGUUUUAUAUUACUACCACUUCCUCUGAAAGUUUAAAAUUGUAAUUUUGUAAUUAAAAUAUAUAUUCACAAA